AUUGAACGCCGGCGGCAUGCUUUACACAUGCAAGUCGAACGGCAGCGCGGGGCAACCUGGCGGCGAGUGGCGAACGGGUGAGUAAUACAUCGGAACGUACCCAGAAGUGGGGGAUAACGUAGCGAAAGUUACGCUAAUACCGCAUACGUUCUACGGAAGAAAGUGGGGGACCUUCGGGCCUCAUGCUUUUGGAGCGGCCGAUGUCUGAUUAGCUAGUUGGUAGGGUAAAGGCCUACCAAGGCGACGAUCAGUAGCUGGUCUGAGAGGACGACCAGCCACACUGGGACUGAGACACGGCCCAGACUCCUACGGGAGGCAGCAGUGGGGAAUUUUGGACAAUGGGCGCAGGCCUGAUCCAGCAAUGCCGCGUGAGUGAAGAAGGCCUUCGGGUUGUAAAGCUCUUUUGUCAGGGAAGAAACGGCUGAGGAUAAUACCUUCGGCUAAUGACGGUACCUGAAGAAUAAGCACCGGCUAACUACGUGCCAGCCGCCGCAGUAACAC
rnacentral:rRNA from 1 species